rnacentral:rRNA from 1 species
GAAUUGACGGGGGCCCGCACAAGCGGUGGAUUAUGUGGUUUAAUUCGAUGAUACGCGAGGAACCUUACCAAGGCUUAAAUGGGAAAUGACAGGCUUAGAAAUAGGCUUUUCUUCGGACAUUUUUCAAGGUGCUGCAUGGUUGUCGUCAGCUCGUGCCGUGAGGUGUUAGGUUAAGUCCUGCAACGAGCGCAACCCCUGUCACUAGUUGCCAUCAUUAAGUUGGGGACUCUAGUGAGACUGCCUACGCAAGUAGAGAGGAAGGUGGGGAUGACGUCAAAUCAUCACGGCCCUUACGCCUUGGGCCACACACGUAAUACAAUGGCCGGUACAGAGGGCAGCUACACUGCGAAGUGAUGCAAAUCUCGAAAGCCGGUCUCAGUUCGGAUUGGAGUCUGCAACUCGACUCUAUGAAGCUGGAAUCGCUAGUAAUCGCGCAUCAGCCAUGGCGCGGUGAAUACGUUCCCGGGCUGGGGGAUCCCGA